rnacentral:lncRNA from 10 species
CUUUAAGUUGCACAGAGGCACUUUGUCCUGAGACAGGCUUAUUGAGACAUCAUAUUCUUUUCUUUGUCAAGCCUGAUGGGCUUAUUUCACACACAAAAUGAAAUCUCAAAGUUGUCAUUGUAGAAAGUCUGAAGAGUGGGUGGGGAACGGAAUGACUUUCUCAAAGAUGUCAGGAAGGUGCUUAGCCUGAGGUAGAAGGUGGUGUCUUGUAGUGGGGAGGUGUGGGCCAACCAGCCACAGCCAGACAGCUGUCACAAACUGCGCCACCUUAAGCAAGUGGCUUAACAUUUCUGUGCCUCAGUUUCCUUACCUGCGAAAUGGAAUAAUAACAGUAUCUGCCUCGUAGGAUUGUUAUGACAUAGACUAAAUAAGUGAAGGCACAUACAGUGCGUAAAUGCAAAAGCAGCUGUGCGUGUCAGGCACUGUCCUGCGCUCCCUACCAUCACUGCCGGCAGCAGCAGCAGCUGAGCCGUAAUGGGCACGAGCAGCAUGGCCAUCGCAUGAUGCAUCGGUUGGGAGCAUUCGGCUGCUGGUAAUAAACACCAGGAGUAGCUGUGGAUUAAUCUCGGCAUGGAUUCUCCUGGACCGCAGGAUAUCCUACCUGCCCUGCACUGGCAAUGUUCAUCUUGAUCACCUGGCCAAGAUAUUGUCGGAUUUCUUCACUGUGUAAUUAUUAUUUGAUACGGGUUGGAUCUGUGUCCCCACCCAAGUCUCAUGUUCAGCUGUAGUCCCCAGUGUUGGAGAGCACGGGCUCCCCAAAGGCCAGGAACGAGUCUGGUUUCUGGAACAGCACUGUCUCCUCAGCACCUAGACCUGGGCACAUAGCAGACAACCAAGGAAUGCCCAUCAACGAGAGGAGGCCUCACCUCAUGGCGGCCAUGUGGGGCAGGAAUGACUGUAAUCCCCCCUAACCAAUGGAACAGCUAAGACUCAGAGAGGGUGGCCAGAGCAGAAGGAAAUCAAGCCGGACCAGAGUAGCCCCUUCUUGCUCCACAGAACCACAGCCUUGCCAGGUCCCAAGGCAUUUGGCCUGUCCUGACAGUGAUGGGAUCUCCCAAAAUACAGCCCCCUCAGAGACCAUCAGAACUCAGUCCAAAUGGGGCCUGGAAGGAUUCUCCUGAUGUUAAAAUACCUCGUUCACCCCACAGCCUCCGUCGUUGCUCUGGGACCUCGUUGCUGACCCUGGAUGACAGACCACUGCCUAGGAUGAAAUUCCCCUCUGGAUGGAUGGCUUCUGGUUUGGUGAUGGAAUGGAUUCCAGGGCCUCUGAGGAAGGCAGGAAGCCUUGGGACUUGGCAAUCUCCACAGGAGAUGGGGUGUGUGCUAGGUGAGGCCCCCAUCACCAGGAGCAAGGCCUGGUCCACCCUGAGACCCAGCGCCCACUUACUGUCCAUGCCUUCACCUUGCUAAGUUAGUGUGUGGUCCACUUGCUAAGAGAAACAACAGGUAUUAAGGGUUUAAGAAAAAAUGAAACCCAAAACAAGCUCUGAAGUUCUGUAGACCUUGGCCAACUCUCAGCACAGCCACUUACUUGCUAGCUAAUCUUGAGCACGUCCCUUAACUUCUCUAACCUUUUUCCUCCAUUCGUAAAACUGGGAAAAUUUGCAUCUUUUUCGUGCAUUCGUUUUGAGAAAUAGAUGGAUAUGUGUGUGCCUGUCAGCUCGACGCUGGGUGCAGAGUGAGUGCGCUAAGCACGGUGGCUUCCUUGACUGUAGAGAUGCAUCCUAGCUCCUGCCUGGUCUGUCCCAGGUGGACAGAGGUGAUGGCAUCUGGAGGGGUCCCACCUCCAAUGUCUUAAUCCAGGGCCUUUCUGUGGCAUAGUGCUGAGCCAGCGUACUGAAAGGCCACAGAGAGGUGCAGCAGGUGGCGAGUUGAGCCCCCACCUCCCCAACCCCAGUGAUUUUCCCUGAAAAGACACCCCAUGCUUUGUUUUGUUGUCUGGCUUAUGUAAACUUGCCUCUUGUUUUAUAGUUGCUUCCCCAGCUUUAAACUAAAGGCUGUUAUUGACAGCCUAUAGUUGCUUCCCCAACGGCCAAUCCCUCCAGCUCCCCUCCUGCUUCCAGGCAAACAACCCCAGUCAUAAGGGCCUGCGAUGUUCCCAGUCCCAGGGAAUGAGUCCUGAUUGGUCUAAGACAGCUAAGACAAUUCUUUUCUACUUUAUCAAAUACAGAUGACCCCUGAACAGCACCAGUUUGAACUGGGGGGUCCACUUAUAUGUGGAGUUUCUCUCUCUGCCACCUCUGGGACAGCAAGACCAAUGCCUCCUCCCCCUCCUCCUCCUGAGCCUACUCACUGUGAGUAGGAUGAAGACCUUUAGGAUGAUCCAUUUCCACUUAAUCAAUAGCAGAUAUAUUUUCUCUUCCUUAUGAGUCUUUUAACAACAUUUUCUUUUCUCUAGCUUAUUUUAUUGUAAGAAUACGGUGUUGAAUGCAUAUAACGUGCAAAUACAUGUUAAUCAACUGUUUAUGUUACGGGUAUGGCUUCUGGCCAACAGUAAGCUAUUAAUAGUUAAGUUUUGGGGAAGUCAAAAGUUAUAUGCAAUUUUUUGACUGCACAGGGAGUCAGCACCCCUCACUCCUCAUUGUUCAGGGUCAACUGUACUUGGUUUCCAAGCCUCCCUUAUAAGUCGGUAUGGCCAUGGGACCCAGUUUUAGAUGUGAGAAGAGAAGAAGGGUUGCAUCUGGGAAGGAUUUCUUUCUGGAUGAAAGAUAGUCUUUUGAGGAGCGGCUCCUUGGUCCCUGCCCUGUCCCUCCUGCUGGAGAUGCUGCAUGCAAGGGCCUGAUGUCUGGAAUUGAAGCAUCCAUGUGGUGACCAUGAGACAAGAAGCAUGACAAUAAAAUUUCACUGGGUGGAAGAAUGAGGAAGUCUGGAUUCUUGAUGAUACUGUUGCCGUCUGAACAUGCCCUGUGACCCUGUACUUCUGGGCAUCUGGUUACAUGAGCAAUAAAUAUUCUUACGGCUAAAACCA